rnacentral:lncRNA from 13 species
GCUACUUGGGAUAAGGAAGCAGCUGACAAAUCCAUUAAGUCGUGAGAAUUUUCUAUUACUCCUCCCAGCAGGAUAUCAGGAAGAGAAGACUCUCAAAUGUUGAAAUUUCAGAUGUGGGCGAGGAAGUGACAUUUAUCGCUGUACACAGAAGAAAAUGAGCCAAGAAGUGCUGCAGGAG